UGCCUGGUGGUCCUGUGGUUAGGAUUCCACAGUUUCACUGCUGAGGGCCCAGGUUCGAAUCCUGGUCGGGGAA
rnacentral:tRNA from 1 species